ACAGCCGCCCUCGGAAAGUGCAAAAGCAGCCACGAGACAGAUCCAGGCUUUGUUGCUAAUUUCCCAGGGUGAAAAUUGACAAGCCUGGGAGUGCAGUCAGCACAACCCAUUGCAUAUGCUACUGACAAACGCUGGGGACAUCCCCUCCCACCCAUGCCUAUCACACAGAGAAUGUGACCUCUGCAGGACUGGACUCUGGAAGGACCCUACCUCCAGGACUCGCCCACAAGAAGAACUGCAAAAGAGCUCCAAAGGAGAAGGAAAAAAAAAUCAUCAGAAAAACCCCCGUGCAGAUGAAGAGGCUUGAUGCUUAAUGCGCACAGAUGUGAUCGCCAGUGGUCGCCGACAAUGAAAUAUACAAGUGCACACAAAGUGAUCCGGUGAACAAGAGGUGGAAUUUAAUCAUCUUCUGCUGACACUUUGUGAAAAACACCAUUAACCCUCAGCAAACCCCCUGUUUUCCUGGCUCCCUGUAACCCCUAAAGUCUCAGCCCCUCCUGCCAAGGAGAAAAAGUGAAAGAAGAAUUUGUGGUUUUGUUUACUCAGCCAAGCUAAAGGUUGGAUCCAGCCAGAUGAAAACUUUAAGGAACAAUGAAGGAGAGAGGUGCCGCUCUGAACCGGGACUAAGGUGCAGAACUGGAGUGAGCUGUUCUCCAACUCCUGAAUUUGAACCCUGGACUGAAUAAAAGCUUUAAGACCACAAGACAAACACAAAGUUUAUAGCCAACUCGUUUUUCAAGUGUAGUGUCUCUGCUACAGUCCUUGCUACUCUCUCCUUGGGAAGGUGCCUUCCAAGGUUCACCGUGGCUCCUCUGUACAUGUCCCUAUUCAGGAGGGCCUGGACUCUUCUUCAAUUUUCUGGUAUGGAAGACAUAUGUGGUAUCAAUUAUUCCAGGACCCAGAUCACUUCUUUCCUUUUAAAAUGCCACCAAGCAUCCUAAGAAAGUGUGAUGGUGUUUGGUGUUUGGAGGGUUUUAAAAUUGGGCACUUUGAAGCUAGCAGGCAGCAUUGGCUCUACACACUGCUUUAAGUAGCUUUUCCAUGCUCAUGCUCCCGAGCUACUCCCCCACUAACUUCCCAAACUGCUUCCACAUUCUCCCGCUCCUUCCCUCUGCAUGCUUCACCAAUGUGCACAUAGCUGUUCUUGGGCAUAGAUGGCGCAUGCUAGGGGGAUUGUUUGAAAGGGUAAUUAAUAGGCAUAAGAUCCUGUCCUCAUCUGAUAUAUUUUAUAACUUAUUUUUUAUCAAAAAUGAAUUUCAAAUAUUCUGUUGCCGUCUCAGACAUACCAGCAUACAGCCUAAAAAUAGGUACAGUCACCAGAGCUAUGGUGACGGAUCAAACAAAUCUAUCUGCCAUCAAACUCAUGUUCUUGACUUGGGAAUCUCUCUGUGAAACACAGGGCAUUUCUGAGGAAAGCAAAGCCUGGUGACUGAAUGAAACCUUAGAUUUAUCCCCCUAAGGACAGAAUAGUUUUACAAUCAUGCUUUAAUUUUCCUUUGUAUUUUAUACCUUUGACAUUUCGUGGACAAAUGUAAGGAGCAGCAAGGCUGUUGACAGGCCUGGGGAUGACGAAGGAAGGACUAAGCGUUUUCUUCAUUCAAACAAGGCAGAAAGUGAAACCACGUAGUCUAAUGGUCAGUGUCUCAAUAAGAUGAGAAUAAACAGAAAGAGGCUCCGUGUCUUAUUUAUAUUUUAUCAGAGGUUAUUGCUGUAGAACCGUGAAGCACAAUAAAUAGCAUUCUGUUAGCAGCCAUUUGAAAGAAAAUGUUCAUCACUUUCAAAUAAAAUUACUUCCCUC
ensembl:antisense A830011K09Rik RIKEN cDNA A830011K09 gene